rnacentral:rRNA from 1 species
AGAGUUUGAUCCUGGCUCAGAUUGAACGCUGGCGGCAUGCUUUACACAUGCAAGUCGAACGGCAGCACGGGGGCAACCCUGGUGGCGAGUGGCGAACGGGUGAGUAAUGCAUCGGAACGUGCCCAGUAGUGGGGGAUAACGCGUCGAAAGAUGUGCUAAUACCGCAUACGCACUACGGUGGAAAGCGGGGGACCGCAAGGCCUCGCGCUAUUGGAGCGGCCGAUGUCCGAUUAGCUAGUUGGUGGGGUAAAGGCCUACCAAGGCGACGAUCGGUAGCUGGUCUGAGAGGAUGAUCAGCCACACUGGGACUGAGACACGGCCCAGACUCCUACGGGAGGCAGCAGUGGGGAAUUUUGGACAAUGGGCGCAAGCCUGAUCCAGCCAUGCCGCGUGAGUGAAGAAGGCCUUCGGGUUGUAAAGCUCUUUCGGCCGGAACGAAAUCGUCCGGGCUAACACCUCGGAUGGA